CCUACGGGGGGCUGCAGUGAGGAAUAUUGCGCAAUGGCCGAAAGGCUGACGCAGCGACGCCGCGUGAGGGAUGAAGUCCGUUAGGAUGUAAACCUCUUUUGCAGGGGAUGAAUGUCUCGCUAUACGCGGGAUUGACCGUACCCUGCGAAUAAGGAUCGGCUAACUACGUGCCAGCAGCCGCGGUAAUACGUAGGAUCCGAGCGUUUUCCGGAAUUACUGGGGGUAAAGGGUGGGUAGGUGGGUCGCUAAGGAAAUCCCGCAGCUUAACUGCGGAAUUGCCUUCGAUACUGGGGAUCUUGAGUACGGCAGAGGGAGAUGGAAUUCAUGGUGUAGCGGUGAAAUGUGUAGAUAUCAGGAAGAACACCGGUAGCGAAGGCGGUCUCCUGGUCCGUAACUGACACUGAUGCGCGAAAGCGUGGUGAGCGAACAGGAUUAGAUACCCCAGUAGUC
rnacentral:rRNA from 1 species